rnacentral:rRNA from 1 species
AACGAACGCUGGCGGCAUGCCUAACACAUGCAAGUCGAACGAGACCUUCGGGUCUAGUGGCGCACGGGUGCGUAAGGCGGGGGAACCUGCCCGUAGGUUCGGAAUAACUCCCCGAAAGGGGUGCUAAGACCGGAGAAUGUCUUCGGACCAAAGAUUUAUCGCCUUUGGAUGGGCCCGCGUUGGAUUAGCUAGUUGGUAGGGUAAAAGCCUACCAAGGCGACGAUCCAUAGCUGGUCUGGGAGGAUGAUCAGCCACACUGGGACUGAGACACGGCCCAGACUCCUACGCGAGGCAGCAGUGGGGAAUAUUGGACGAUGGGCGAAAGCCUGAUCCAGCAAUGCCGCGUGAGUGAUGAAGGCCUUAGGGUUGUAAAGCUCUUUUACCCGGGAUGAUAGUGACAGUACCGGGAGAAUAAGCUCCGGCUAACUCCGUG